AGGGAAUCUUCCGCAAUGGGCGAAAGCCUGACGGAGCAACGCCGCGUGAGUGAUGAAGGUCUUCGGAUCGUAAAACUCUGUUAUUAGGGAAGAACAAAUGUGUAAGUAGCUAUGCACGUCUUGACGGUACCUAAUCAGAAAGCCACGGCUAACUACGUGCCAGCAGCCGCGGUAAUACGUAGGUGGCAAGCGUUAUCCGGAAUUAUUGGGUGUAAAGCGCGCGUAGGCGGUUUUUUAAGUCUGAUGUGAAAGCCCACGGCUCAACCGUGGAGGGUCAUUGGAAACUGGAAAACUUGAGUGCAGAAGAGGAAAGUGGAAUUCCAUGUGUAGCGGUGAAAUGCGCAGAGAUAUGGAGGAACACCAGUGGCGAAGGCGACUUUCUGGUCUGUAACUGACGCUGAUGUGCGAAAGCGUGGGGAUCAAACAGGAUUAGAUACCCUGGUAGUCCACGCCGUAAACGAUGAGUGCUAAGUGUUAGGGGGUUUCCGCCCCUUAGUGCUGCAGCUAACGCAUUAAGCACUCCGCCUGGGGAGUACGACCGCAAGGUUG
rnacentral:rRNA from 1 species